rnacentral:rRNA from 1 species
UACGAAGGGGGCUAGCGUUGUUCGGAAUUACUGGGCGUAAAGCGCGCGUAGGCGGUUUUCCAAGUCGGGCGUGAAAGCCCCGGGCUCAACCCGGGAAAUGCGCUCGAAACUUGAAGACUGGAGGCCGGAAGAGGGUAGUGGAAUUCCCAGUGUAGAGGUGAAAUUCGUAGAUAUUCGGAAGAACACCAGUGGCGAAGGCGACUCACUGGACAUGUAUUGACGCUGAGGUGCGAAAGCGUGGGGAGCAAACAGG